rnacentral:rRNA from 1 species
UGGUGGAGCGAUUUGUCUGGUUUAUUCCGAUAACGAACGAGACUCUGGCCUACUAAAUAGUGACAGGAUUAUUACUGUCCUGGAUACUUCUUAGAGGGACAAGUGGUUUUCAGCCACACGAAAUUGAGCAAUAACA